GCUCGAGCUCCGUCCGACGGGGCGGCUCGCCAGCUUCGGGGAGGAGCUGAGCUGCUGCAGGACGCAGCCCUGCAGCUGAGGCUCCCUCUCUAUUUCCGGGCAUCCCUCCCAGGCCUCUGCUGCGAGCUGCAGGCCGGGCCCAGCCAUUCCAGCUACCCCGCUGGGGGGUAUCUCAGUUCCUUGCGGCGCUGCGCUCCUCCCACCGCGUAGCUAUGGGACCCGGGACCCACAGCUGUGUUAACUCGCCCGCUCGGCGGGGGCGGGCCUGAGGUUUUCCAGGGGCCGGGACAGGGAGACGUUACGGGCCAUUGAGUUGAGUUUCCCUUUGCAGAGGCUCCAUCCACCCUAGUCCGGCAGGGGGUGAUGGCAGGAUAGGGCUAAGAUCAGGCUAACGCGGGUUCCCCUCUGACACUUUUGGUAUGAAUGUUUCCCAGGCACAGCAAAAGCACGUCGGCUGAUCCCCCUCCAACGCGUGUAAAGACAAGCGAUAAUAUCCAAGGGGAGAAUAUCAGAACUGAGCAUCAAACCCACCUGACUCCACUCGAAAUAGUGAUUGUGAUGAGGAGAAAAUUAUGAAGAAGCGAAUGGGGGAUAUCCCUCCUAUAUUGUGGAAAGAAUAUAAGAUGAGCUUCACAAUUUCAUUAUGGUCGCUUUCAUAUGGAGGAAGCUUUUCAGUUUAAGAGAAAAUCUGAAUGUCACUUUCAUAUAACACAAAUAUUGUAAAAGCAAUAUCUGUUUGUCAGCAUUUCAAUGUGUAUUUUAAAGGGCUUCUAAUGUGAGGAAAAACACGCAAUGACAAGUGUGGAAAAGAGCAAGCACUAAAUUACUGUCAGAAAAAUAAACGCAGUAGCGCUGCUGCAAGGUGAUUUACGGGGGCAAUUAGCCACCACCCCACAGAGCUGCUGAGGACAGCACUGCUGCCUGCAGAAGUGUCAGGCAAAGAGGAAGAGGAGCUUUGGCUUUGCCUUUCCAGACAACUUUUAACAAAACAAGAGGGUGAUGGGGAAGGAGGGAGGCAGCAUAUGCUGUAGCACGUCCUUGUUCCGUGUGUACCUAACCCUUCCCACCCACCCGCCAAAUUGACUCCCACACAAAGUAUAUUGAGCGCGGCAGUCACCUGCGGUGUGGCCGUGAGAGGGGCGCUCCAGCUGCAAAGCUCUCCUGGUGCCCAGGCAAAGUUGUAUUUUUAAAUCCCCACUCCGCCUCCCCAGUGAUCCUUCCCCGCUGGGCCUUGUCUCCUCACAACUUGCAGCCACAGUCUUCGCAUUAAAAAAAAAAAAAGUCUCCGUGGAGUUUGUGUUCUUUAGGAAUCUGGAGUAGUCUGCAAAUCUGCUUGUUUAGCACUGGGACCAAGCUGGCGAGCAGGUGCAGAGGGUGAUUAAAGAGACUGCAGAAUAAAGGUUAAAUGAAAAAUACUCUCAAA